rnacentral:lncRNA from 1 species
CCUUUGCCACAUGAGGUAACAUUCACAGGAUCCGGGAAUGGGGACAUGGGCAUCCUUUGGAGGGUGGUUCAGCUGAGCAUGGGAUCAUGAUGCAGGCCCUGUUUAUAAAAUCCAAAUACUUGGAAGGCCGGGCACAGUGGCUCACACCUGUAAUUCCAACACUUAGGGAGGCCAAGGUGGGAGGAUCACUUGAGACCAGCCUGGGCAACAGAGCAAGACCCCAUCUCUACAAAUAAUUUUUAAAAAUUAGCAGCGCAUGGUAACAUGCACCUGUAGUCCCAGCUACUCCAGAGGCUGAGGCUGGAGGAUCUCUUGAGCCCAGGAGACGGAGGCUGCAGUGAGCUGUGGUUGUGCCACUGCACUCCAGCCUGGGAGACUAGCUAGACCCUGUCUCAAAAAAUAAAAAUUUAAAAUAAAAUACAUAGAGAAUCUCAA